GGGAUUUUCCAGGCAAGAGUACUGGAGUGGGUUGCCAUUGCAUGAGGAUGGCCCACCAAAGUCCCAAAAUGUGAAGCAGAGAGAGCCCAUCCAGCUCCACUGCGAGCUGUCCAAGGGGGCAGCGCACUUUCACCUCUCUUGAGAAAGGUCAUGAGUGUGUCCAGGAAGCUUAUGUGGAAGAUGACACCUGCAGACACUAACUUGUUUCCAGAACCAGAAAGGAAAUCCAUGGCAGAUAUCUGCCCCCAUCACCGACCCCCAGAGACCUAGUGAAAUGCCCAAAUAGGUCAUUACGCAGGCAGUGAAGGCCACAAGAGCAGGCACGUUGCAGAGACAAACAAUUUCUGAGACAGAAAAGAAAUUAAAAUAAAAAAAGUAAGAUAGGAACAGACUUAGAGGCUUACCUCUGUUACCGGAAAAGAAUCCUGAAGACCUUGCUGCAUAUAUGAACAUGUGGAGAGCAGCAAGGGUCUGAAUGUCAUAUGCCUAAACAACCCAAAAGGCAAGAGAAGAAAACCUCAGCAUGUGCACUGGUGAUGAAGAAACCUAAAGAGAAAACAGGGAAGGGGACUGUCAUGGGAAGGAGUGAAAUGAUAUGAUGAAUCUGGGAUAAUUGGAGAUAGGAGCUUGAGUUUGUGUUUGUUGGAUGGUUUUGUUUUUUCUUUAAACCUCUAAGAGCUUGCCAUUUUCUUCUCCAGGUGAUCUUCCCAACCCAAGGACCAAAGCCAUGUCUCCUGCACUGGCAGGCAGAUUCUUUUGCUGCUGAGCCACCAGGGAAGCCCUGACAUUUAAUACCACUUCCCUAACUCCCCAGAAAAAGACUUUGUCUUUCCUAGCAUCUCAGGAUGCUCGAGGGUUGGUGACAAAUAUGGAGGGGCAUCUACUGAGGAAGGAGGCAGUGGUGAAGAGAUGGACCACUGAUGUAGAGAUGCCGUUUGGAGGCAAAGCAGCUUCCCUCUUUGCCAGCUUCACACAGAAGCUAAGGUUAGGAGUUUCAAAACAAGUUCAUUGCCAGUAAAAAAAAAAAAAAGAUCAAACAGACGUCAGCUCAGCAAUUGCUCAGCAGCAACUCUAUCCCACCGCCUCCUUACUCUAGAUUUGUCUUAGAACUCACCUACAACACCUCCAACAGGCCUGACCUUCGUUCUCCUAUCCAAACAUCAUCUGGUUCCCUGGGUGAACAGCAGUAUCUAUAACCAGAGCGACAGCCUCCAGUCCUCGUGGUGGACAUCAGAGCCUCAAGGAAAAGCCAGUCAACACAUCGUUCUCCGCAGUGAUGUAUGUUGCUGGCAUCUGGAGAACACAGGAAGAAGAGUGUCCACAGUCCUCUGGCUGCCCUGCCCUGUGUGAAAGGAGGACAGAAUUGUGGUCUCCUGUUUCAUGUGCUAAUGAACUCUGACCUCUGGCCCUGCUGACCUUGCUGGAGGGCCCAGUAUACCUCCAUCCCUGGUUCCCACCUCCCAGCCUCCUCCUGUCCUCUAGAUUCCAGCUCCUGGGCUGCGCGACCCCAGACUCGGUGAGAAGAAUUAUCAAUAAGUCAGGAUGCAGUCUGUGUUCUGGGGAGAUCACCCACCUCUACCAUCCACAGAAAUUUUUUAGAGUUUUGUACAGCUAGAUUAUAUUCACGCUGAAAAAAUUCAGAGAGUCAGUGCUAGACAGGAUUGUGAAGGGCAAGAGAUGCUGCUCUUCGCAGAUGUGUGUCUUUGGGGGAAGAUGGUUCUGCUUGGGACUGAGGCUGGGGAUCUUCUCACAGAGGACAGAGCCCUGAUUUUGCUACAGAGAAGUGAGAAGAUGCUGGUCUCAGAGCCCUGAGGGGCUUGCCGGGCUCGGGAAAGUGCAGGGCAGUUGACGUGGGAGCCACUAGCAAUUGCUGAAUUGUCAUCACUUGGCUGAAGCUGGUCUUGAUGAGUCCUGGAGACACACCAUGCACUCAGAUGUCCUGUGAUGCCAGCUCCAUGGCCAAGGACUUGGGUAUUCCACUUUGGACUCCUUCCCCGAGUGUCCCCUUGGCGUGGAGGCGAGCAAGGCAGAGUCGCCCCAACUCCACCGGCCUCCCUGCCCUCCUCGUCCUCCGCGUGGGGCAGCGUCAGCACGGCCGGGUCCUCACGUUCACAUCCGGGAUCUGCCAUCAGAACUGGCACUGCUUGACAUGUGAUAUCUUAGUUCCCCAACCAGGGAUUGAACUCGUGGCCCCUAACCACCCUCCCUCCACCCACGCCCCAUGUGGUGGAAGCACAGUGUUAUAACCACUGGACCACCAGGAAGUCCAAAGCUGUUAUGAGGGUGCGAAGAGAGCAAGCCAGUUCACUGGCCUCUUCUCAUAGGGCACAAAUCCCUUCAUGGAGGCUCCACCCUCAAGGCCUAAUCUUCUCCCAAAGUCCAUCUCCAAAUACCGUCACACUGGAGAUUAUAUCUCAGCAUAUGAAUUUUGGGGGAAUGCAAACUUUCAGUCCAUAACCCUUUAAAAAUCCCACUGUUAUUUUUGCUGGAUCUCCCAAAAUAACAUGAAGAAAUGACUCAGGGUCAUGAAUAUUGUGCAGAACAAUAUCACUGUUCCAUCACUGCCAUGGAAGCCUCCAACAAGCUACUGUGGUAAGAACUCAGGCUCUUGGAAGAACUCUCCAUUCUGAGGCCAGUAAAGCAUCCUGUCUGGGACUUCCCUGGUGGUCCAGUGGUUAAGAAUCUGCCCUACAAUGCAGGGGACAGGUUCCAUUCCUGGUUGGAGACCUAAGAUCCCACAUGUCACAGAGCAACUAAGCCAGCACGCUGCAACUACUGCACGACUAGAGAGUCUGCAUACCACAACGAAGAUCCCACACAGCCAAAUAAAUAUUUUUUAAAAAACACAAACCUGUCUCCUUCCUCCAGCUGCCCUUGCUGUCACUCAUCUCCUUCUACUACAGGUCCUGCUCUGUUUGCUGUUCAACUAAUUAAUCCAUAUUUUACAUCAGUCUUCCUCAUUACAAUGUGAUUUUUUUUCCCCCACAGUAAGGGUCUUGUAUCUAUGGUGAUUCAAGAGGAAAUCUGUACAAAGAUGUUCCAGUUGCAACCUUUCACUCACUUUAAGAGCCGGUUAAAGCUGAUUGAGGUAAAGGGUCAGUGGAGAUCCUACAAAGGCCCAGCAGAGGCCAAAACUUUGCAGCGAAGUUAAGAGUCGGUAGGAAAGCAGGACUUCUCUGGUAGUCCAGUGGCUAAGACUCUGAGCUCCCAAUGUAGGGGGCCUGAAGUUCUAUUCCUAGUCA